AUUAGUAAUAGCUAAGUUCUUGAAAAUUAAAAGAUUUGGCGGUAUUUUAGACUUUUCAGAGGAACUUGUUUUGUAAUUGAUAAUCCACGAUUUAAAUUACUUUUUUUUUUAGUUUAUUUUUCGUCGUUAUUGAAAAUUUUUAUAAAAAUUAUUAAUUUUCAAAAUUUUAAAUUAAAAAAUAAAUCAAAUCAAGAUGUAUUUAAUAAAAAAGUAAUGAUGAUUUACUUUUAUUUUUUUUAAGGAUUUUUAUUUAAAAAAUAAAUUGAAUUUGGAUUUGAGAGUAAUUUAAAUUAAUUAAUUUAAAUGAUUUAGCCCCUAAAAUU
rnacentral:rRNA from 1 species